UACGAAGGGGGCUAGCGUUGUUCGGAAUUACUGGGCGUAAAGGGCGCGUAGGCGGCCUUCUAAGUCGAACGUGAAAUCCCCGGGCUCAACCCGGGAACUGCGUCCGAUACUGGAAGGCUUGAAUCCGGGAGAGGGAUGCGGAAUUCCAGGUGUAGCGGUGAAAUGCGUAGAUAUCUGGAGGAACACCGGUGGCGAAGGCGGCAUCCUGGACCGGCAUUGACGCUGAGGCGCGAAAGCCAGGGGAGCAAAGCGGG
rnacentral:rRNA from 1 species